rnacentral:rRNA from 1 species
GCCUUGUGCCAGCAGCCGCGGUAAUUCCAGCUCCAAUAGCGUAUAUUAAAGUUGUUGCGGUUAAAAAGCUCGUAGUUGGAUCUCGGCAGGUAGGGGGCGGUUCGUUUCUGACGGCACUGCCCCAUUUACCUGUGUUUUUGACGGAGGUCUCAAGGUGGCUUUAAACGGCUGUCUUGGUACGCCGUCAGGUUUACUUUGAAAAAAUUAGAGUGCUCAAAGCAGGCUACAAAGCUUGAAUAUUUGUGCAUGGAAUAAUGGAAUAGGAAGUCGUUUCUAUUUUUUUUGGUUUUCGGAAAUUGACUUAAUGAUUAAUAGGGACAGCCGGGGGCAUUAGUACUCAGACGACAGAGGUGAAAUUCUUGGACCGUUUGAGGACUAACUACUGCGAAAGCAUUUGCCAAGAGUGUUUUCAUUAAUCAAGAACGAAAGUUAGAGGUUCGAAGGCGAUCAGAUACCGCCCUAGUUCUAACCAUAAACGAUGCUGACUAGCGAUCCGUAGCUGUUUUCUAUGUAGGCUCUACGGGAAGCUUCCGGGAAACCAAAGUUUUUGAGUUCCGGGGGAAGUAUGGUUGCAAAGCUGAAACUUAAAGGAAUUGACGGAAGGGCACCACCAGGAGUGGAGCCUGCGGCUUAAUUUGACUCAACACGGGAAAUCUCACCAGGCCCGGACACUGGAAGGAUUGACAGAUUGAGAGCUCUUUCUCGAUUCAGUGGGUGGUGGUGCAUGGCCGUUCUUAGUUGGUGGAGUGAUUUGUCUGGUUAAUUCCGAUAACGAACGAGACUCUGUCCUGCUAAAUAGGUUUGCCGUCUCUUUUGCGGUACACAUUCUUCUUAGAGGGACUGGCGGCGUCUAGCCGCACGAGAUUGAGCAAUAACAGGUCUGUGAUGCCCA